rnacentral:lncRNA from 1 species
AUCUCAAUUUAAUGAGUUGUAUAGGGAUUAAGAUGAGAUGGUUUCUCUGCUAACUUGACCUAGUGUUUAAUCACAAUGUUUUAGCCACAUAUUGCAAUUUAAAAAAAAAAACACUACCAUUUUCUGAGACCACCUUGAUCUGAUAAUUGGAGGUCCCUGUGCCUUAUUAUUGUAUGUCAUUCAAGUGUCAUGACUGGAGUAGCCUCUGAGUUAUGUGAAAAAUGUUACGUCUUGAGACAUCAUAUAUGAUUUAUGAUGAUUGUUUUUUUCUCAAUUUAACUAUAUUCUCCGGGGAACUGAACAUGAAUCAGUCCUCAAAUCACCAGGGGCUCUGAAACAGAGGCAGGAGAACCUUGAGCUCUUCCCAGCUGGCAAAAGCCACUUCUUCCCAAGUGAAGAUACAUCACAACUGGUUCCAGCAAAGUACAUAUUUCUAAAUGUCCUUAAAUUUUGUCAGGUUACCUACUUCAGUCAUGAAACUAAAAAGUAAAAUUCAUAAACUAGAAGGCUUAGGUACGUGGAUUCACAGUAAAAUUAUCAAGAUCUGGAAUCAUGGUAUUGGUAAUUUGAAUACUUAGUCAUGCUUCCUAAGAUUACUUUUUCUAUGCUUGUGGGCUAUCAACAACCUUUCCAUUGUCUGAAAAGUAUUCUGAGCCCAAAUCAAAUACAAAUAAGGCUGCUGCUAACAAAUUUAUUUACAAUUAAUUGAGGACUUAUGAGGGUACAAUAAUACUAAAUGUUGCAGCAAGAAAUUUUCAUGAUUUUUGGAUAAUUGUUUUAAUGUGACAGUAACUGAC